UCUUUUUCUCUCUUUAUCUUGAUCCUUUAUUUCAAGUUUUUAGAAAUUUGCUUUUGGAUUUAUCAUUAUUCCCAUGGGUAUCCCAGUAAAUAGAAUUUAAUCUUCCGAAUCAAAAGGCUUGGUGUUUGUUUUGGUGAAAUUUGCAAACAUGUUAAUUAUUCAAACACCUUGCCUGAAAAUCCUUGGAGAAAUCCCAUGUAAUAUGUGAUAUUUGGGUCAAAAUAUGUUCAUAUAUGUAUUCCUUUUUUGUAGGACCUUGUGACCCCUCAUUAAAAUGAAUCAGAUGACACUUUGUCUAUGAUGAUACAAUAAAUCCCCAUCCACAGGUUGCAUAAGUUUUGCUCACAUGCUGCUUCUAAUGCAGUGAUGCUCUUAUCAUUCAAUGCCAUAGGAUGGAUCUUGUCUAUGUGUGUCCCAAGUACUAGGGUUUGGCACUGAUCGUAGCCGGACUUUAUUUAUAUGUUAGAUCCAUCUGCAGUGAGUGAUUUAGUGCGGUGGAGAAGUGUUCUACAUGUGUUACUGCUUUGUUUAUCAAUUUUCACGGUUAAAGCUCUUGUUGUACAGGAUCCCUUUACCUAACUGGGUUGUGGAAGAGAUCAACAAAGAUCCGGACCUUGCAUACACUGAUCAAUGGGGGAGGAGAAAUUAUGAAUAUGUGUCCCUUGGGUCUGAUACUCUUCCAGUCCUCAAGGGGCGAACACCCGUCCAGUGUUAUGCUGACUUCAUGCGUGCAUUCAAGGACAACUUCAAGCAUCUUCUUGGUGACACCAUUGUGGUAAUUACCUAUCCCUAUCCCUAUGAUUCUCAUAAGUUUAAUGCAAUUAGUACAAGCACAAAGGCUUGUACAAAUUGUGUGCAAGCCCUGCCUAGGUGGUCAAGAGUUUGGCAGUCAGGGCCCAAUUGUUUAGUUUGAAUACAAAAAUUACAGCAGGUUUCAGUGGCUGGUUCAAACUCCUUUAAACUCUAUAGUAUGUGAUGGAAGUGAUCACUAAUCAUCUUAAGAAUUUGUCUCAUUCAGGAAAUCCAGGUGGGGAUGGGACCAGCAGGUGAGUUCCGCUACCCUUCAUAUCCAGAGCAAGAUGGGACAUGGAAAUUCCCAGGCAUUGGAGCCUUCCAGUGUUAUGACAAGGUAUUUCUCUUGUUCUUUUUUCCUUUUUUUUUUCUUCUGAU
rnacentral:lncRNA from 1 species